rnacentral:rRNA from 1 species
UGGGGAAUCUUGCACAAUGGAGGAAACUCUGAUGCAGCGACGCCGCGUGAGCGAUGAAGCCCUUCGGGGUGUAAAGCUCUUUCGACGGGAACGAUAAUGACGGUACCUGGAGAAGAAGCUGCGGCUAACUACGUGCCAGCAGCCGCGGUAAUACGUAGGCAGCGAGCGUUGUUCGGAGUUACUGGGCGUAAAGAGUGCGUAGGCGGCGAGCCAAGUUUGGUGUGAAAUCUCCCGGCUUAACCGGGAGGGUGCGCCGAAAACUGGUUGGCUGGAGUAUGGGAGAGGAGAGCGGAAUUCCUGGUGUAGCGGUGAAAUGCGUAGAUAUCAGGAGGAACACCUGCGGUGUAGACAGCUUUCUGGACCAAAACUGACGCUGAGGCACGAAAGCGUGGGUAGCAAACA